rnacentral:rRNA from 1 species
GACGAACGCUGGCGGCGUGCUUAACACAUGCAAGUCGAACGAUGAAGCUGGAGCUUGCUCCGGUGGAUUAGUGGCGAACGGGUGAGUAACACGUGAGCAAUCUGCCCUUGACUCUGGGAUAACUGCGGGAAACUGUAGCUAAUACCGGAUAUGAGGCUCGAAGGCAUCUUCGGGUCUGGAAAGAAUUUCGGUCAAGGAUGAGCUCGCGGCCUAUCAGCUUGUUGGUGAGGUAAUGGCUCACCAAGGCGACGACGGGUAGCCGGCCUGAGAGGGUGACCGGCCACACCGGGACUGAGACACGGCCCAGACUCCUACGGGAGGCAGCAGUGGGGAAUAUUGCACAAUGGGCGAAAGCCUGAUGCAGCAACGCCGUGUGAGGGAUGAAGGCCUUCGGGUUGUAAACCUCUUUUAGCAGGGAAGAAGCGAAAGUGACGGUACCUGCAGAAAAAGCACCGGCUAACUACGUGCCAGCAGCCGCCGCAG